GUAGGUGGCAAGCGUUGUCCGGAAUUAUCGGGCGUAAAGCGCGCGCAGGCGGUUCUUUAAGUCUGAUGUGAAAGCCCACGGCUCAACCGUGGAGGGUCAUUGGAAACUGGAGAACUUGAGUACAGAAGAGGAAAGCGGAAUUCCACGUGUAGCGGUGAAAUGCGUAGAGAUGUGGAGGAACACCAGUGGCGAAGGCGGCUUUCUGGUCUGUAACUGACGCUGAGGCGCGAAAGCGUGGGGAGCAAACAGGAUUAGAUACCCUGGUAGUCCACGCCGUAAACGAUGAGUGCUAAGUGUUAGGGGGUUUCCGCCCCCCUUAGUGCUGCAGCUAACGCAUUAAGCACUCCGCCUGGGAGUACGGCCGCAAGGCUG
rnacentral:rRNA from 1 species